CUGGAACUGAGACACGGUCCAGACUCCUACGGGAGGCAGCAGUGAGGAAUCUUCCACAAUGGGGGCAACCCUGAUGGAGCAACGCCGCGUGCAGGAUGAAGGCCUUCGGGUUGUAAACUGCUUUUAUAAGUGAGGAAUAUGACGGUAACUUAUGAAUAAGGAUCGGCUAACUACGUGCCAGCAGCCGCGGUCAUACGUAGGAUCCGAGCGUUAUCCGGAGUGACUGGGCGUAAAGAGUUGCGUAGGUGGUUUAAUAAGCGAAUAGUGAAAUCUGGUGGCUCAACCAUUCAGACUAUUAUUCGAACUGUUGAACUCGAGAGCAGAAGAGGUAGCUGGAAUUUCUAGUGUAGGAGUGAAAUCCGUAGAUAUUAGAAGGAACACCGAUGGCGUAGGCAGGCUACUGGGCUGUUUCUGACACUGAGGCACGAAAGCGUGGGGAGCGAACCGGAUUAGAUACCCGGGUAGUCCACGCCGUAAACGAUGGAUACUAGCUGUUUGGGGUAUCGACCCCCUGAGUAGCGAAGCUAACGCGUUAAGUAUCCCGCCUGUGGAGUACGAUCGCAAGAUUAAAACAUAAAGGAAUUGACGGGGACCCGCACAAGCGGUGGAUCAUGUUCUUUAAUUCGAUGAUAACCGAUAAACCUUACCAGGUCUUGACAUCCUUGGAAUCUUUCAGAAAUGAGAGAGUGCUUUUUAAGAGCCAAGUGACAGGUGAUGCAUGGCCGUCGUCAGCUCGUGUCGUGAGAUGUUUGGUUAAGUCCAUCAACGAGCGCAACCCUUGUCAGUAGUUGUAUUUUUCUACUGAGACUGCCCCGGCAACGGGGAGGAAGGAGGGGAUGACGUCAGGGCAGUAUUUCCCUUACGUCCUGGGCUAGAAACGUGAUACAAUGGCUAGUACAAUGCGCAGCGAAGCCGCGAGGUGAAGCAAAUCGCAUCAAAGCUAGUCCCAGUUCGGAUUGUAGGCUGAAACUCGCCUGCAUGAAGUCGGAAUCGCUAGUAAUCGCAGAUCAGCAUGCUGCGGUGAAUACGUUCCCGGGUCUUGUACACACCGCCCGUCAAACCAUGAAAGUCACUAACACCCGAAGUCCGAUUCGUCGGCCUAAGGUGGGAGGGAUGAUUGGGGU
rnacentral:rRNA from 1 species